CUCGUAGGCGGCCAACUAAGUCAGACGUGAAAUCCCUCGGCUUAACCGGGGAACUGCGUCUGAUACUGGAUGGCUUGAGUUUGGGAGAGGGAUGCGGAAUUCCAGGUGUAGCGGUGAAAUGCGUAGAUAUCUGGAGGAACACCGGUGGCGAAGGCGGCAUCCUGGACCAGUACUGACGCUGAGGAGCGAAAGCCAGGGGAGCAAACG
rnacentral:rRNA from 1 species